ensembl:snRNA U6 U6 spliceosomal RNA
GUCCUUCUGAUGAAGGGGAUGGCGGCACAUAUACUAAAAUUGGAAUGAUACAGAGAAGAUUAGCAUGGCUCCUGUGCAAGGAUGACACGCAAAAAACCUACUGAUGCCUCAAAUAAUU